rnacentral:ncRNA from 1 species
UUGAGCCGCUUGCGGGGAAACCCGCCCGAGCGGUUCUUAGAGGGCUUGGGGUUGGCGACAGCCUCCGGCUACUCGAC